rnacentral:tRNA from 1 species
GGCGUGGUACUCCUUAACCGGUAAAGGAGCCUGGCUGAUAACCAGGUGGGUUUCCCAACCCUCGCGUGUCAGAAUCGCACAGCGAUUCUGAGCAUGAUCAGAAACCGAUAGUAGAUAAUAAAAAAACUCGGUUUCUGACAGGUUCGAAUCCCGUCCACGCCG